CCAAUUUCCAGGUGGGUCUAUAUAAAAUUGGAUUGAUACAGAGAAGAUUAUCAUGGCCCCUGUGCAAGGAUGACACACAAAUUCAUGAAGUGUUCCAGAGUGAU